rnacentral:sRNA from 1 species
UUUAAAGGUUGGAAGGCUAAAGUCGGGUCGUCGGGUCGCAACGCCUUCAUGACCAACAUCGUGUUGU